rnacentral:rRNA from 1 species
GACUCGUCACACUAUCAUUAACUGAAUCCAUAGGUUAAUGAGGCGAACCGGGGGAACUGAAACAUCUAAGUACCCCGAGGAAAAGAAAUCAACCGAGAUUCCCCCAGUAGCGGCGAGCGAACGGGGAGGAGCCCAGAGCCUGAAUCAGCAUGUGUGUUAGUGGAAGCGUCUGGAAAGGCGCGCGAUACAGGGUGACAGCCCCGUACACAAAAGCGCAUGUGCUGUGAGCUCGAUGAGUAGGGCGGGACACGUGGUAUCCUGUCUGAAUAUGGGGGGACCAUCCUCCAAGGCUAAAUACUCCUGACUGACCGAUAGUGAACCAGUACCGUGAGGGAAAGGCGAAAAGAACCCCGGCGAGGGGAGUGAAAAAGAACCUGAAACCGUGUACGUACAAGCAGUGGGAGCCCCACCACUAAGCCAGUGGUGAACUCCACAUACGCAUCCUUUGCUGAGGAUGCGGUUAACGGAGCGAAAGCGACGUUCAACCGCAAAAGAAGCAGAGGGGGCUUAGUGGUGGGGUGACUGCGUACCUUUUGUAUAAUGGGUCAGCGACUUAUAUUCUGUAGCAAGGUUAACCGAAUAGGGGAGCCGGAGGGAAACCGAGUCUUAAUUGGGCGUUAAGUUGCAGGGUAUAGACCCGAAACCCGGUGAUCUAGCCAUGGGCAGGUUGAAGGUUGGGUAACACUAACUGGAGGACCGAACCGACUAAUGUUGAAAAAUUAGCGGAUGACCUGUGGCUGGGGGUGAAAGGCCAAUCAAACCGGGAGAUAGCUGGUUCUCCCCGAAAGCUAUUUAGGUAGCGCCUCGUGAAUUCAUCUCCGGGGGUAGAGCACUGUUUCGGCUAGGGGGCCAUCCCGGCUUACCAACCCGAUGCAAACUGCGAAUACCGGAGAAUGUUAUCACGGGAGACACACGGCGGGUGCUAACGUCCGUCGUGAAGAGGGAAACAACCCAGACCGCCAGCUAAGGUCCCAAAGUCAUGGUUAAGUGGGAAACGAUGUGGGAAGGCCCAGACAGCCAGGAUGUUGGCUUAGAAGCAGCCAUCAUUUAAAGAAAGCGUAAUAGCUCACUGGUCGAGUCGGCCUGCGCGGAAGAUGUAACGGGGCUAAACCAUGCACCGAAGCUGCGGCAGCGACGCUGAUGCGUUGUUGGGUAGGGGAGCGUUCUGUAAGCCUGCGAAGGUGUGUCGUGAGGCAUGCUGGAGGUAUCAGAAGUGCGAAUGCUGACAUAAGUAACGAUAAAGCGGG